AGUGAACGCUGGCGGUAGGCCUAACACAUGCAAGUCGAACGGCAGCACAGUAAGAGCCUGCUCUUACGGGUGGCGAGUGGCGGACGGGUGAGGAAUACAUCGGAAUCUACUUUUUCGUGGGGGAUAACGUAGGGAAACUUACGCUAAUACCGCAUACGACCUACGGGUGAAAGCAGGGGAUCUUCGGACCUUGCGCGAUUGAAUGAGCCGAUGUCGGAUUAGCUAGUUGGCGGGGUAAAGGCCCACCAAGGCGACGAUCCGUAGCUGGUCUGAGAGGAUGAUCAGCCACACUGGAACUGAGACACGGUCCAGACUCCUACGGGAGGCAGCAGUGAGGAAUAUUGGACAAUGGGCGCAAGCCUGAUCCAGCCAUACCGCGUGGGUGAAGAAGGCCUUCGGGUUGUAAAGCCCUUUUGUUGGGAAAGAAAAGCAGCAGGUUAAUACCCCGCUGUUCUGACGGUACCCAAAGAAUAAGCACCGGCUAACUUCGUG
rnacentral:rRNA from 1 species